UACGGAGGGUGCAAGCGUUAUCCGGAUUCACUGGGCUUAAAGGGCGCGUAGGCGGCGCGUUAAGUCCGUUGUGAAAGCCCUGGGCUCAACCCAGGAACUGCUUCGGAUACUGCCGCGCUUGAGGCUAGUAGGGGACACUGGAACUGCCGGUGGAGCGGUGAAAUGCGUAGAUAUCGUCAGGAACGCCAAUGGUGAAGACAGGUGACUGGGAUAGUUCUGACACUGAGGCACGAAAGCGUGGGGAGCAAACGGG
rnacentral:rRNA from 1 species